GGGGUUGGUGGACCGGAGAAGGAGCGAAGAUGGCGGAGUGAGGCGUUUCCCGGGCAGCUGGCCUCCGGGCCCGGGGCGGGCCUCCCGCUUGAGAUGGUGUACUUGUGCUGGACCGCGUGAGAAACCUUAGCACAUAGGAUGAAUAUUUUCGUGACCAUAGGUGCUUUUAUAUUCAGCUCAGAAUUCUGAACUCAGGAUAUAGCAAGAGUUUCUAUGUUGUCUUCUCAGUGGGCAUCCUGGUUCUUUCAUCCAGCCACUUCCCUAGUAGAGUGCAGAUGCUUUCUACAGAUACCUCCGUGGUUUGGAAUGGAGACUGCACCGAGAAGCCCAAGGGUGCAGCUGUCCUGCUGACUUCAGGAGGACACCGACCGGCUUGGCUAUUCUGCUGCACUUGGCUUCAGUAGAAGGAUACCGUUUGCAAGUGGAAGGAAGAUGGUUAAUUUGAACAGGUGCUUAGGUUAUGCAUCGUGGAUUCUUCCUUUUAAAGCUCCAAACAACAAAUCAAAUACCAAAUGUGGGUGACUUCAGGUUUUGGGUUUUUUUUUAAAGUCUGCCAGUUUUAACACUAUUAUAAGCACAGUAGAGACUAAUAGUAAAUUCCAAAUAUCAUUAUAAUUUGAGGUGAAAGAAACAUCUAAAUCCUGAUUUACCCUUUUACAGAUUUCCUGGACAAAAACAAGUCUCCAGUAUGAUAAAAGCAAAAGGCAAGAAUGAUACUAGGGUUGAUUUCAUAUGGGAGUGAAACCAUUGCAGUUUGUGUGCAGAUUCACAUUUUUAUGUUUAAAUCCACAUUUUUUAAAUAAGAUUUUUCUCCUGGAGAAGAACGCUGUCAUUUAUGAAAAGGCUUUGGACAGUGUGAUGGUCUUUAGUGUUUGGAUUUUGUCUGUUUUGCUUUUUCAUCCUUCUCAGGAAGGACCAGGGCCUGCAGCUAGUCCAGAUGGGCAGAGAAUGAGCUGGGGUGAUGCCUGCCUCGGGCUGUCUGUGCUUGCGUGGCUGAGGCAGCAAGAUCAGAAGUCCAGGUCCAGCUUGGGCCACAUGGAGAGACUCCAUCUCAAAAAGAGCCGAAAAGAAAAAGAAAACACCACUCUUUUGUUUCUCAAAGUUUUGUUCUUUCUUGUGGGAUCACAUGUAGCAAUGAGACUUUGGUUUUCCAUGUGACUGACUGGAAAGAAAAUGGCGUAUGUGUUAUGUGAUAGACCUGACAGUGUGACUUGCCUUCAGCUUUGGGUAUUCAGGAGUGGAGGAAAAUAACUCGGCGUAUAAAUCCUUUCUUCUAAGAAAAAGAAGCAACGAUGUCUUAUGUAGCAUCAUCUGACAUUUCAGCAUUUUUAAAUUAUGUACUUGCAUUUUUAUAAAAGCAUAAAUAACUUUUCCUUCAUCCCAAGAUGGGUACUUAGACAUUUAUUUUUCUAGACGAUAACUUCAGGCUGAAAUUCUGGGACUCAGGUAAAUUUUCCCAGUUUGAAUUGAACUUUCUUACCAGAAAAUGGACCUCAGAAGCAAUGUUCCCAGUCCUAUGGUCAGUUCACUAUACUCUUAGAAGAAAUUCAGGAUCUGAACAAAACUUCAAAUAAGAAAAGUAGGUCCAAUAAAAAGUAUGGAUCUUGUUGCCAGUCACUGUAGAUUUAAAGGAAAUUCAGGUUCAGGGAUGGAGAGACCUCAAGAAAACUAGUUCCCAUAAGAAAUGAUACAUGUUUGUUUAUUCCUUUAACUAGCAGUUAUGAGGAACCAUCAUGAAAACCUCUCUUUGCUUCCAAAUCAAAGAAGUCCAUUUUGUGGGAUGCCAGGCUUUUACAAGGAAGGGAACUGUUGUUUCCAGUGGUUGCCAGUAGAGAAGGAAUUUUAAGUUUGCAAGAUAACUUAAAAACAGGUGCUGUUAGAGCUGAUUUCUGGAACCAUUUCCCAGUGCUGUGAAUUUGAGUCAUAGAAAUGAUCAAAAGUAGGAAAUGUUGAACAAUCUAAUGGCUAGUCAAAUUGGACAACAAAUUUGAAUUUAUACUAAAAGCUUUUUUCAUAAAACACUUAUUAUAAAUAACUUUUUUCUUUUAGUUUUUUGAAUCAGGGUUUCUGUGUAGCUUUGGAGCCUGUCCUGGAGCUAGCUCUGUAGACCAGGCUGGCCUCAAACUCACAGAGAUCCACCUGCCUCUGCCUCCUGAGUGCUGGGAUUAAAGGCGUGUGUCACCACCGCCCAGUUUAUAAAUAAUUUUUUAGUGAGAUCAAAUAAUGAUAAAACACUAGAGAAAUGAGUUAAAGGUAACCUAGAUUGCUAGACUUGUUAUCCCGCACCUUUAGCCACAGUAUUUUGGGUGUUGAGGCAGGAGGAUUGGCCACAAGAUCAAGGCCAGCCUCAAUGGACAGACCCGGACUUAAAAUGAAGCAAAAAUAUAACCUAAAUUUUUCUCUUUAAGUACUCUAGCCACUUAUAUUUUCAUUUAGAAGACAGUGGAAGCCAGCUGGUGACUGAGAGCAUCUCAUAGGUGCCUGAUUCCUCCUGCACCUUGCUUUUGGGCAACUUUGUGGGGUAAGGCCCACAGGCAGGGCUUUCACCACAAAGGCGAUGUCACCUUUGCUCCAGAUGCUUCAGGUUUGUAGCCUAAACCUUCAGAUAUUGAGUGCACUUUGUCAAAGAUGCUCUUGUGUCCUGCAUUGUUAGCACCAGAUGACAUUUUCAGCAUGGGAACAUUGCAGCUGUAGUGGCCUGGUGUGUGGUACAUUUCCAUUUUAAAGUCUUGCUUGGGUUUUCUUAAUAGCUGCAAAAACUACCAUUUUAGAGCUGUGCUUCCAUCUGUAGCCGUGCCUCCUCCCUUCUCCAUGUGAGCUGGCAGUUUUUCUUUUGGAGUUACUAAACAAAAACGGGAUAUGUGCAAUAUAAAUAUAUAUAUAUAUGUGUAUAUUUUAAUACUUGUGGACGAGUGUUACAAGUCGUUAAAGAACAACAAAAUCACCAAUGUCUUCCAUUUUGAGAUGUGUAUAGUUUUGUAAGCAGUAGUGUUUGGUAGCAUAUUGUAGUGCCAUGUUAGGGGUUAGUGCAUGAAUUUAGUAUCAUUUUUAAACUUCAGGAUGAAAUACUGAUAAUAGCUAAUAGUGUAAAAAGAGUGGAAAAUCCUAGACCUUUGCUUUUCUCAUGUAUGAAAAUAUGAUAUUCUCCCUGGGGAUAGGAGAUAAAGGCCAGAACAACUAAUGUCUGAACAGAAAUGUGGGUUCACAUUGAAUAACAUUGUGCUUGGGGAAAUGUUAGCCUUUCACAAAGUAUCUAGAAAUAACUGCCUUUGUACCUUUUCAGUCCUCAAAGCAUGGCCUCAUUUCAUGAUUAUGUCUUGCUCUCUCAGUUUGAAGCUAACUUGUUCUUAUAUUAUCUUAUAUUAUCUUCGUAUCAUAUGUCUUGGGUUCAUUUUCCCUAUUCUGUGUUCAGAGAAUUAUUUUCUAUUUCGCAUGUCCAAGAUGCUGUGCUAAUUGCUUUGGAAUGAUUAAUUUGUGGCCGUUUCCUUUCCUGUUUGCAGCAUGUGUGCUAAUUGCAGAACCUUGUCAGCAGUUUGGAGUAUCCUGAACUCUAGGCUUUUUUUCUACUUUCCUUAUGGAAAUAAAGUAGUUGCUUUGUUUUGAAAAAGAAAAUUUCUGUAAAAUGGAAUUCCUACCUCUAAAAGCUGCCUAGGAAACUUGGAACAGUUUUAUGAGUGUCGAGGGUUUUUUUUGGGGGGGGAGGGGUGUGGUUAUUUUGUUUUAAUUUUAGAAUUAGAGUCCUGCCAGGUGUGGUGGUGCAUGCCUGUAAUCCCAGCAUUUGGGAAACUGAGGCAAGAAGACCAGGGGUUCGAGGUAAUCCUUUGCUACAUAGUGAGCUGGAGUUGAGCCUGAGCUGCAUGAGAUCCUAUCUCAGAAAACCAAAAGAAGGAAAGAAAAGAGAACCUAGGACUUACUAAUUGUAUUAUAUUGGUAUGAUAGAAAACGUAAAACUUUUUAAUGGGACUUUUUUUUCCCUCACACAAGCUAGGUAUGAGUCUAGUAUUACCUAUCAAGGGACCCAGGAAUAGAUCCUUGUAGAAUACCAAGUGGUGGUUAGCUUUUGAAAACCAUUUAAGUUUAAGAAACGGGAGGGGGGGGCUUGAAAAAUUAAUGCAUAUAAAGUAGCACAGUAUAUAGGAAAGAAUAUUUUCUGUUGCAAAAAAUAAAAGCCAUAAAUGAACUAAAAAUGUUGAAGAGUUGCAACUUAGUAGCAAUAACAGUUUUGUGUGUAUAGUAAAUUGUGUUCACAAAACUGCAUGGUUGAGUGAUUACUAUUUGAGUUUGUGAGCCUCUGCAGUCUUACAGAGUCCACAAAAGGAAAAAAGUCCUAGGUUUAAAAGCAUUUAAACUAUGAAUGUAUAUGAAUAUAUUUGCGUGAAAAAUAUCAACUUUCAUGUGUGUUAAAGACUGUUUUCGCAGAGUUUACAUCUAGUGCUUAAUCUGGAAGCAGAUGUGCUUCUCCAGUCCCAAUGAAGCCACCUUCAUUAACAGUCAUUUACUGUGGAGGACGAUGUAUGCUUUGUAACAUUUGUUCAUUGCAUUCCUAGCUACUCUAUCAAAAGGAAAAGUUUGUUUUUGUGUGAUUGGGGGUGGGACAGGGCGGAAAGCUUCCAGAACUUGCUGGCUUUUCCUUGUACUUGGGAUCAAGGAAGUUAGGAAUUAAAGGUAAACAAAAUGUCUGGGCAGUACCCAGGCUGGAUUUAUCUGUAUGUGA